GUGUCAGCAGCCGCGGUAAUACGGAGGGUGCAAGCGUUGUUCGGAUUUACUGGGCGUAAAGCGCGCGCAGGUGGGUUUACAAGUCGGAAGUGAAAUCUCGAGGCUCAACCUCGAGGCUGCUCCCGAAACUGUAAGCCUAGGGACUGGUAGAGGCUGGUAGAAUUCCCGGUGUAGCGGUGGAAUGCGUAGAGAUCGGGAAGAAUACCUGUGGCGAAGGCGGCCAGCUGGGCCAGAUCCGACACUGAGGCGCGAAAGCGUGGGGAGCAAACAGGAUUAGAAACCCGCGUAGUCC
rnacentral:rRNA from 1 species